GCCGAAGGCCUAGUCCCCUAUGAAUUUCAUUCACCCUCUACAGAUCCGUAGAUGGUCAGUAGUUAACCGUAUAAUGAAUUUAUUGGACGCUGGACUUUUUCUGCGGCGUUUUGUUGAAAAAUAAACAAUGAAAUACAACAACAUUAAAAUAGAUGACGUCGCCAUUAACGCAUCAUGAACCCCAUAUGAAACUUACUUACCCCAUACGCCUCAUAGGGGGUCACCACGUGCGUUUAACCAAUCACACGGCGUUUAACCAAUCACAACGUGAUAAUUUAUCUGCGGUCCAAAAAAGGCUCUCUAGUUAGGUUUUACUUUCCUGUACAUUAUUGCUGUAACAGUUUAUCUCUAUCUAUAAUAAUAUUCAAGAUAAUAACCAGAAACGGCAAAAUUUCCUUAAGAUUACCAAUUCAGGGGCAGCAACCUAACAACGAGUCGCCCUUUUCAUCUCAACAUUUUAGGGCAGAUAAAUCUUCACCUGGUUAAAUUUUUUAUCCCAUGUCAGAUUUGCUUUGGUUUUAGAAAUAUAUGAGUCAAAAACUGCAUUUUACCCCUAUGUUAUAUUUUUAGCCAUGGUAGCCAUCUUGGUUAGUUGACCAGGUCACCGAACACAUUUUUUAAACAAGAUACCCCAAUGAUGAUUGUAGCAAAGUUUGGUUUAAUUUGGCCCAGUAGUUUCAGAGGAGAAGAUUUUUGUAAAAGUUAACAGACGACGACGACGGACGACGGACUCAAAGUGAUGAGAAAAUCUCACUUGCCCCUGUGGGCCAUGUGAGCUAAAAAGGUGCACUCGAUUUUCUCUUUUCGAUACAAUUGUUAAACCAUUUUUUGGAAUUUUUUCUCGAGUCACAUAAUGGAAAGGCAGACACGAAAAUUACUGAACUAAUAGAUUGAUAUGUUCUCCGUCC
rnacentral:lncRNA from 1 species